rnacentral:rRNA from 1 species
GAUGAACGCUGGCGGCGUGCCUAAUACAUGCAAGUCGAGCGAACAGACGAGGAGCUUGCUCCUCUGACGUUAGCGGCGGACGGGUGAGUAACACGUGGAUAACCUACCUAUAAGACUGGGAUAACUUCGGGAAACCGGAGCUAAUACCGGAUAAUAUAUUGAACCGCAUGAUUCAAUAGUGAAAGACGGUUUUGCUGUCACUUAUAGAUGGAUCCGCGCCGCAUUAGCUAGUUGGUAAGGUAACGGCUUACCAAGGCAACGAUGCGUAGCCGACCUGAGAGGGUGAUCGGCCACACGGGAACUGAGACACGGUCAAGACGCCUACGGGAGGCAGCAGUAGGGAAUCUUCCGCAAUGGGCGAAAGCAUGACGGAGCAACGCCGCGUGAGUGAUGAAGGUCUUCGGAUCGUAAAACUCUGUUAUUAGGGAAGAACAAAUGUGUAAGUAACUAUGCGCGUCUUGACGGUAACUAAUCAGAAAGCCACGGCUAACUACGUG